rnacentral:rRNA from 2 species
UUGAUAGGCCGGGUGUGUAAGCGCAGCGAUGCGUUGAGCUAACCGGUACUAAUGAACCGUGAGGCUUAACCUUACAACGCCGAAGC